rnacentral:tRNA from 1 species
UCACCUGUGGCCUACUGGUUAGCGCUUCGGACUUGUAACCGGAGGGUUGCCCGUUCGAACCCCGACCGGUAGG